CACGUAGGGGGCGAGCGUUGUCCGGAUUCAUUGGGCGUAAAGGGCGCGCAGGCGGCCCGGAAAGUCGGAUGUGAAAACUCGGGGCUCAACCCUGAGCGUGCUUCCGAUACGGGCAGACUAGAGGUAUGCAGGGGAGAACGGAAUUCCUGGUGUAGCGGUGGAAUGCGCAGAUAUCAGGAGGAACACCGGUGGCGAAGGCGGUUCUCUGGGCAUUACCUGACGCUGAGGAGCGAAAGCAUGGGGAGCGAACAGG
rnacentral:rRNA from 1 species